rnacentral:misc_RNA from 1 species
UACGGAGGGUGCAAGCGUGGUCCGGAUUCAUGGGGUUUAGAGGGUGCGUAGGCGGGAAAUUAAGUCAGCGGUGAAAGCCCACAGCUCAACUGUGGAACUGCCAUUGAUACUGGUUAUCUUGAGUAUAGUUGAGGCAGGCGGAAUUUACGAUGUAGCGGUGAAAUGCAUAGAUAUCGUAAAGAACACCUAUAGCGAAGGCAGCUUGCUAAACUAUAACUGACGCUGAGGCACGAAAGCAUGGGUAGCGAACAGG